rnacentral:rRNA from 1 species
AUUGAACGCUGGCGGCAUGCCUUACACAUGCAAGUCGAACGGCAGCACGGGAGCAAUCCUGGUGGCGAGUGGCGAACGGGUGAGUAAUAUAUCGGAACGUGCCCAGUCCGUGGGGAUAACGUAGCGAAAGCUACGCUAAUACCGCAUACGAUCUAUGGAUGAAAGCGGGGGAUUCGCAAGAACCUCGCGCGAUUGGAGCGGCUGAUAUCAGAUUAGGUUGUUAGGUGAGGUAAAAGCUCACCAAGCCGACGAUCUGUAGCUGGUUUGAGAGAACGACCAGCCACACUGGGACUGAGACACGGCCCAGACUCCUACGGGAGGCA